CCUACGGGAGGCAGCAGUUUCGAAUCAUUCACAAUGGGCGAAAGCCUGAUGGUGCGACGCCGCGUGAGGGAUGAAGGUCUUCGGAUUGUAAACCUCUGUCACCGGGGAAGAAACGCUUCAAGUUAAUAGUUUGAAGCCUGACUUAACCCGGAGAGGAAGCAGUGGCUAACUCUGUGCCAGCAGCCGCGGUAAUACAGAGACUGCAAGCGUUAAUUCGGAUUCACUGGGCGUAAAGGGUGCGCAGGCGGCCAAAGUGUGUGAGGCGUGAAAGCCCGGAGCUUAACUCCGGAAUUGCACCUCAAACUACUUGGCUAGAGCAUUGGAGAGGGUAGCAGAAUUCACGGUGUAGCAGUGAAAUGCGUAGAUAUCGUGAGGAAUACCAGAGGCGAAGGCGGCUACCUAGACAAUUGCUGACGCUCAGGCACGAAAGCGUGGGGAGCAAAAGGGAAUUAGAUACCCCUGUAGUCGACGCCCUAAACCGGUAGCACACUACGUCGUUGUCGGACGUCGUACCCACCACCGGCCGACCGACGACGACGUACGUAGUGCGCCGCGAGAGACGACCGCCGACGACGAAACGUAACGAAACGAAAGUAAGUAGACGAGAGAGAGCGACGGACGACGACGAGGGAGGAGGAG
rnacentral:rRNA from 1 species